UCUUAUCCAGAGUGACUGAGGGACAGGCCCUAUGAAGUCCAGCAACCUGCUUUUUGGUAAGGUGCUAAUUCCUGCGGUUUAGCCGAAAGAUAAG
rnacentral:ncRNA from 1 species